rnacentral:rRNA from 1 species
AUUGAACGCUGGCGGCAGGCUUAACACAUGCAAGUCGAGCGGGGGGAGGUAGCUUGCUACCUAACCUAGCGGCGGACGGGUGAGUAAUGCUUAGGAAUCUGCCUAUUAGUGGGGGACAACAUUUCGAAAGGGAUGCUAAUACCGCAUACGCCCUAAGGGGGAAAGCAGGGGAUCUUCGGACCUUGCGCUAAUAGAUGAGCCUAAGUCGGAUUAGCUAGUUGGUGGGGUAAAGGCCUACCAAGGCGACGAUCGGUAGCGGGUCUGAGAGGAUGAUCCGACACACUGGGACGGGGACACGGCCCAGAAUCCUACGGGAGACAGCAGGGGGGAAUAUUGGACAAUGGGGGGAACCAUGAUCCAGCCAUGCCGCGUGUGUGAAGAAGGCCUUUUGGUUGUAAGGCACUUUAAGCGAGGAGGAGGCUACCGAGAUUAAUACUCUUGGAUAGUGGACGUUACUCGCAGAAUAAGCACCGGCUAACUCUGUGCCAGCAGCCGCGGUAACAC